GUAGGUGGCAAGCGUUGUCCGGGAAUUAUUGGGGCGUAAAGCGCGCGCAGGCGGUUCUUUAAGGGUCUGAUGUGAAAGCCCACGGGCUCAACCGUGGAGGGUCAUUGGAAACUGGAGAACUUGAGUACAGAAGAGGAAAGCGGAAUUCCACGUGUAGCGGUGAAAUGCGUAGAGAUGUGGAGGAACACCAGUGGCGAAGGCGGCUUUCUGGUCUGUAACUGACGCUGAGGCGCGAAAGCGUGGGGAGCAAACAGGAUUAGAUACCCUGGUAGUCCACGCCGUAAACGAUGAGUGCUAAGUGUUAGGGGGGUUUCCGCCCCUUAGUGCUGCAGCUAACGCAUUAAGCACUCCGCCUGGGGAGUACGGCCGCAAAGGCUG
rnacentral:rRNA from 1 species